rnacentral:rRNA from 1 species
UUCUCGCAUCGAUGAAGAACGCAGCGAAAUGCGAUAAGUAGUGUGAAUUGCAGAAUUCAGUGAAUCAUCGAAUCUUUGAACGCACAUUGCGCCCCUUGGUAUUCCAUGGGGCAUGCCUGUUCGAGCGUCAUUUGUACCCUCAAGCUCUGCUUGGUGUUGGGUGUUUGUCCACUAUCGUGGACUCGCCUUAAAGUCAUUGGCAGCCAGUGUUUUGGUAUUGAAGCGCAGCACAUUUUGCGCCUCUAGCCUAGAACACUAGCGUCCAAUAAGCCUUUUUCCACUUUUGACCUCGGAUCAGGUAGGGAUACCCGCUGAACUUAAGCAUAUCAAUAAGCGGAGGAA